ensembl:rRNA 5S_rRNA 5S ribosomal RNA
ACUUAAAGUCAAAGUACCCUGAACAUGCUUGAUCCUGUUUGUCUUCUGAAGCUAAGUGGGGUUUGAUCUGGUUAGUUUUUGGAUGCUGAACCAAUUAGGAACAGCAGAUGCUGUAAGAC